UCAGGUCUAGUCGGGAAACGGGAAUUGAAGAGCGGGCCGCUGCUGCUGCUGCUGCUGCUGUGUUAGGAGGGAACUUGGCGACAAUGGCUACUGUCAAGUAGUAAUAAUGACAUUGCGGAGUGCGGUGCUCUGGGACUGGGUCCGGGACCUCGAUCGGGGGGAGGACCCGUGGUGGGGUGGUGCGCAGCGGCUAGGUGCCGCCGGGGAGCGGACGGCGUGUUAUGUAUACUAUGCAACGCCUCCGCGAUCCGGGGCACCCGCGGUGCUUGCCUGCCUGCUUGUCCUGUCUUGUCCUAUCUUCACCGCAGUGAAGAGAGUACGCGUGCCGCGCCUCCUUACCCCCCUCGCAUUCCUCCAACCGUAUUCCUCUUAGCCGGUCGUCUUUUCCUUCCUCCGAGGCCCUCUUCUUCAACCUCCUGCCCUCCCGCCGUCCCACCGUCGUUGC
rnacentral:lncRNA from 1 species